rnacentral:lncRNA from 1 species
GGAAACUGAGAAGCUGCCCUUGGUCUGAGCUCGAUGGGCUUCAGCCAGAGACUAAAAUCAUUAACGAACAGCUUGGAAAUAUCAACUUAAAGGGAUUUCUUACCAUAAACAGCCAACCAGCUGUAAAUGGGGCAAAAUCUGACUCUCCCUCUAUUGGUAAGUGACAUUAUUGUGUGAUGCUUUCUAUAUCUCUAAAACAUGAUCAAACAUACAUGUGUACUGGUGCGCUCGCACACACACACACACAUAUGUAUUAUAUUCAAUGGAGACCACUCCUAAAUUGGAGAUUUGGAGACCUUUAGAAUAGCCGAUAGAUUAGAUGUAAUUAUAACAAAAUGAAUGUUCAAGAUCAAUUCUAAAAUAUAUUUUCUUGUCUUUCUUCCUCAUCUACACGUUUCUGUACAGCAAUAUACAAAUGCCCCUCUCUCUCCUUAAUCGUCUUUAUUCCCCUAGAUCUACAUAAUUUUUAUAGUCAAUCAUCAAUUAAUCACAGAACAAUUAGCGAUCACACUCUUCCAGUUCUCUUACAAUAUAUUCUUAUCACAACCUCUAUAAUGACACACAUUAAAGAUGUUGAUAGGUGAAGUUCCGUGUCACGUGAUUUUCUCCGCAGAACCAGGUUCUGUUAAAAACUUGAUUAUAUCCUGUGUAGUAAUGUGGUGUGAGUGAUGGUUGAAAGUAGAUUGAAUCAAUUGUUUCGCAUUGAACAAUGCAAAACAAUAUGUUGUAUGGCAAGUGAACAUGUUCUGCAUUUGAACACAGUUUGUUUAUUUUCUUUCCACUAUUCUCUUGAUUUGUAAGGUGUGGAAGUGAUGGAUGAUUAGAUAUGAAAAAAUUUGAUAAAAAAAAAAAAAAUUACAGAUGUGAUGUCCUGGAAACAAAACACUAUACUCUUCUUAUGUUUAAUGCAAGCAAAUAUGCAAAACACAAAAUUCUACUUAAAGGAUAAUAUGUUUUGCAUGCACUAUGUCGUAUAGUUUUGGAAUGUGAAUAAAUAUCUAGAAAAGAAAACUCGCUGGGAAAAAUGGUGCAGUUAGGUAACAGCUUUCACUGAUGACAAAUCUUUGUAUAUAUUCACUUGACAAAGUUCAGUUAUUUUACUAUUUAUGUUAAUUAUUAUUUUAUUAGGUGUCUCCAAAGAAUCCAAUAUAUUAGGGUCUUCAUAGAACCCAUACGUGUGUAUAGUGUAUUGAUUUUCCAAAUUAAAUCGGUCUCCAUGGAACCCAUAUGUGUGUAUAGUGUAUUUAUUUUCCAAAUUAAACCUAAAAAAUAUAUUUAUAUUUAGUUAUUCAUCUGCCUUGUGUCUAUCUAUAUAAAAGGGUCCUCUUUGGGGUGCCACCCAUAUAUGUUUGUGUAUAUAUUCUCAUAUAUUAUAGUAAACAGUUACACAUAUAAUGCACUAGUUUAACAUAAUUAUAUAAAUUUAGGCAUUGAAGCUUGGGGAGGUUGGUGGUCCUCAUUGAGAACCCUUCAGUUAGUGUAAGAGGCUCUAUAGACAUAAUUGACCUCACUCUUUUGUAAUAUGCUUUGCAGGAUGGGGUGGCCCAGGUGGCUAUAUCUAUCAAAAGGCUUAUGUCGAGUUUUUCUGCUCCACUGAUAAGUUGAAUGCUCUGGUUGAGAAAUGCAAGGGCUUUUCAUCCCUCACCUACAUGGCUGUGAAUCAAGAAGGGAGUUGGAUUUCCAACAUAAAGCAAACUGAUGUGAAUGCUGUAACAUGGGGUGUGUUCCCUGCAAAGGAGGUCAUACAACCAACUGUUGUAGAUCCUUCCAGCUUCCUCGUGUGGAAGGACGAGG